UGAGGAAUAUUGGUCAAUGGACGAGAGUCUGAACCAGCCAAGUAGCGUGAAGGAUGACUGCCCUAUGGGUUGUAAACUUCUUUUAUACGGGAAUAAAGUGAGCCACGUGUGGCUUUUUGUAUGUACCGUAUGAAUAAGGAUCGGCUAACUCCGUG
rnacentral:rRNA from 1 species